CCGGCGACCGGCGCACGGGUGAGUAACACGUAUGCAACCUGGCCGUGACAGAUGGAUAACCGGGAGAAAUCCCGCCUAAUACAACAUAAUGCCGGGAGGGGACAUCCCCUGCCGGCCAAAGGGGGCGACUCCGGUCACGGAUGGGCAUGCGGCGCAUUAGGUAGUUGGUGGGGCAACGGCCCACCAAGCCGACGAUGCGUAGGGGUUCUGAGAGGAAGGUCCCCCACAUUGGAACUGAGACACGGUCCAAACUCCUACGGGAGGCAGCAG
rnacentral:rRNA from 1 species